GCAGUCGANCGAUGAAGCCCUUCGGGGUGGAUUAGUGGCGAACGGGUGAGUNNCACGUGGGCAAUCUGCCCUUCACUCUGGGACAAGCCCUGGAAACGGGGUCUAAUACCGGAUAACACCUGCCCGGGCAUCUGGGUGGGUUAAAAGCUCCGGCGGUGAAGGAUGAGCCCGCGGCCUAUCAGCUUGUUGGUGAGGUAGUGGCUCACCAAGGCGACGACGGGUAGCCGGCCUGAGAGGGCGACCGGCCACACUGGGACUGAGACACGGCCCAGACUCNUACGGGAGGCAGCAGUGGGGAAUAUUGCACAAUGGGCGAAAGCCUGAUGCAGCGACGCCGCGUGAGGGAUGACGGCCUUCGGGUUGUAAACCUCUUUCAGCAGGGAAGAAGCGAAAGUGACGGUACCUGCAGAAGAAGCGCCGGCUAACUACGUGCCAGCAGCCGCGGUAAUACGUAGGGCGCAAGCGUUGUCCGGAAUUAUUGGGCGUAAAGAGCUCGUAGGCGGCUUGUCACGUCGGGUGUGAAAGCCCGGGGCUUAACCCCGGGUCUGCAUUCGAUACGGGCUAGCUAGAGUGUGGUAGGGGAGAUCGGAAUUCCUGGUGUAGCGGUGAAAUGCGCAGAUAUCAGGAGGAACACCGGUGGCGAAGGCGGAUCUCUGGGCCAUUACUGACGCUGAGGAGCGAAAGCGUGGGGAGCGAACAGGAUUAGAUACCCUGGUAGUCCACGCCGUAANCGGUGGGAACUAGGUGUUGGCGACAUUCCACGUCGUCGGUGCCGCAGCUAACGCAUUAAGUUCCCCGCCUGGGGAGUACGGCCGCAAGGCUAAANCUCAANGGAAUUGACGGGGGCCCGCACAAGCAGCGGAGCAUGUGGCUUAAUUCGACGCAACGCGAAGAACCUUACCAAGGCUUGACAUACACCGGAAACGGCCAGAGAUGGUCGCCCCCUUGNGNCNGGNNUACAGNNGGUGCAUGGCUGUCGUCAGCUCGGGUCGG
rnacentral:rRNA from 1 species